AUUCGNUGCAACGNGAAGAACCUUACCCAGGCUUGACAUNUAGGGAACCCUUCGGAAAUGAAGGGGUGCCNUUCGGGGAGCCCUAAGACAGGUGNNGCAUGGCNGUCGUCAGCUCGUGCCNUGAGGNGUUGGGUUAAGUCCCGCAACGAGCGCAACCCCUAUCUUCAGUUGCCAGCAGGUAAGGCUGGGCACUCUGGAGAGACCGCCCCGGUCAACGGGGAGGAAGGUGGGGACGACGUCAAGUCAUCAUGGCCCUUACGCCUGGGGCUACACACGUACUACAAUGGCGCGCACAAAGGGUAGCGAGACCGCGAGGUGGAGCCAAUCCCAAAAAACGCGUCCCAGUCCGGAUUGGAGUCUGCAACUCGACUCCAUGAAGUCGGAAUCGCUAGUAAUUCGAGAUCAGCAUGCUCGGGUGAAUGCGUUCCCGGGCCUUGUACACACCGCCCGUCACACCACGAAAGUCGGUUUUACCCGAAGCCGGUGAGCUAACUCGCAAGAGAAGCAGCCGUCUACGGUAGGGCCGAUGAUUGGGGUGAAGUCGUAACAAGGUAGCAAUCACUAGUGAAUUCGCGGCCGCCUGCAGGUCGACCAUAUGGGAGAGCNCCCNA
rnacentral:rRNA from 1 species